rnacentral:rRNA from 1 species
UUAGUGGCGAACGGGUGAGUAACACGUGAGUAACCUGCCCUUGACUUCGGGAUAACUCCGGGAAACCGGGGCUAAUACCGGAUAUGAGCCGCCUUCGCAUGGGGGUGGUUGGAAAGUUUUUCGGUCAGGGAUGGGCUCGCGGCCUAUCAGCUUGUUGGUGGGGUGAUGGCCUACCAAGGCGACGACGGGUAGCCGGCCUGAGAGGGCGACCGGCCACACUGGGACUGAGACACGGCCCAGACUCCUACGGGAGGCAGCAGUGGGGAAUAUUGCACAAUGGGCGAAAGCCUGAUGCAGCGACGCCGCGUGAGGGAUGAAGGCCUUCGGGUUGUAAACCUCUUUCAGCAGGGAAGAAGCGCAAGUGACGGUACCUGCAGAAGAAGCGCCGGCUAACUACGUGCCAGCAGCCGCGGUAAUACGUAGGGCGCAAGCGUUGUCCGGAAUUAUUGGGCGUAAAGAGCUCGUAGGCGGUUUGUCGCGUCUGGUGUGAAAACUCGAGGCUCAACUUCGAGCUUGCAUCGGGUACGGGCAGACUAGAGUGCGGUAGGGGAGACUGGAAUUCCUGGUGUAGCGGUGGAAUGCGCAGAUAUCAGGAGGAACACCGAUGGCGAAGGCAGGUCUCUGGGCCGCAACUGACGCUG